rnacentral:tRNA from 1 species
UGCAUCGGCCGGGAAUCGAACCCGGGGCGCCCGCAUGGCAGGCGAGCAUUCUACCACUGAACCACCGAAGG